rnacentral:sRNA from 1 species
CUGUUCUCUUCAGUGAGUGGGUAUAGAUAGGGACCGUGGACUCGGGGGCCCUUUGGGGACGGGCACAGGACCCCUGAUCCGGCUGCGCGGCCUCUCCCCCAACUCUGCUCUGUUCUCCCAGCAGGUGUCCGGAGGCUGCACUGCAGCGCAGCCGCUUGGGCGGGCGGCCAGUGGCGACUACAGUGAGUGCUGGGAUGAGGGCACCUGGGGGACCAGAAGCUGGGCUAGGUCCUCACAGAUCUGUUUUUCUCCACACAGGCAGGGACUGGCUGCCAACCCCUCCGGCUACGGGCCCCUUACCGAGCUCCCAGACUGGUCAUAUGCGGGGGUAUGAUCCUGCUUAAUUGGAUAAUUGGUGACUGAGGAAGAUGGUGAAGAUUUUUUCUACUUGUUAUUUACUAUGGCCGCCCUGCUCCCCCAAUGAAAGGCCAGCUUCGAAGAAAAGCUGAAA